GACGAACCGUGCGAACGUUAUUCGGAAUCAUUGGGCUUAAAGGGCGCGUAGACGGGCUGUCGCGUCGAAGGCUGAAAGCCCCCGGCUCAACCGGGGAAGUGGCCUCGAUACGGGCGGCCUCGAGGCGAGGAGGGGGACCCGGAACGUCCGGUGGAGCGGUGAAAUGCGUUGAGAUCGGACGGAACACCGACGGCGAAAGCAGGGUCCUGGACUCGUACUGACGUUGAGGCGCGAAAGCCAGGGGAGCGAACGGG
rnacentral:rRNA from 1 species